rnacentral:rRNA from 1 species
AAAUUGAAGAGUUUGAUCAUGGCUCAGAUUGAACGCUGGCGGCAGGCCUAACACAUGCAAGUCGAACGGUAACAGGAAGAAGCUUGCUUCUUUGCUGACGAGUGGCGGACGGGUGAGUAAUGUCUGGGAAACUGCCUGAUGGAGGGGGAUAACUACUGGAAACGGUAGCUAAUACCGCAUAACGUCGCAAGACCAAAGAGGGGGACCUUCGGGCCUCUUGCCAUCGGAUGUGCCCAGAUGGGAUUAGCUAGUAGGUGGGGUAAGGGCUCACCUAGGCGACGAUCCCUAGCUGGUCUGAGAGGAUG